rnacentral:rRNA from 1 species
GACGAACGCUGGCGGCGUGCUUAACACAUGCAAGUCGAACGAUGAUGCCAGCUUGCUGGUGGAUUAGUGGCGAACGGGUGAGUAACACGUGAGCAACCUGCCCCUGACUUCGGGAUAACCGCGGGAAACCGUGGCUAAUACCGGAUAUGACGCGCUAUCGCAUGGUGGUGUGUGGAAAGAUUUAUCGGUUGGGGAUGGGCUCGCGGCCUAUCAGUUUGUUGGUGGGGUGAUGGCCUACCAAGGCGACGACGGGUAGCCGGCCUGAGAGGGUGACCGGCCACACUGGGACUGAGACACGGCCCAGACUCCUACGGGAGGCAGCAGUGGGGAAUAUUGCACAAUGGGCGCAAGCCUGAUGCAGCGACGCCGCGUGAGGGAUGACGGCCUUCGGGUUGUAAACCUCUUUCAGUAGGGAAGAAGGCCUUCGGGUUGACGGUACCUGCAGAAGAAGCGCCGGCUAACUACGUG